UCUAUUCUAGAUCUAGUUCUUCAAAAACCAAAAGAAAAACAACAGAAACCCCAAAAAUACUGCUACAUUGAGGUUCAUAGAUCAAUUUCAAGUUCAGCAGGUGUUUCAAGUUUCUAGCUAUGAAGUAUAUUCUGUUGGUUCUUUGGUGUCAUUCAUCUGUCAAUCAGUCUUGGGUUACUAUAGUGCAAUUUUGGAUGUCCAGUGAUCCUAGUGGUGCUGUGCUGCUACCUGAUUCUAUUGUUGAAUUCCUAUGACACUGAUGACUCUUAUCUUCUCUUUGUUUCAUUGCAAUUAUACUUCUGAGUUCAUCACAAUGUAUAUUGCAAAUUGAAAGCUGUUGAAAUUGGAAUGAAAGUAAAGUAUGUUUUAUUAUAGAUUUU
rnacentral:lncRNA from 1 species